GCCCCGCAAGGGGAAAAGAUUUUAUCGCCAAAUGAUCGGUCCCGCGUCUGAUUAGCUAGUUGGUGGGGUAACGGCCCACCAAGGCGACGAUCAUUAGCUGGUCUGAGUAGGAUGAUCAGCCUCACUGGGACUGAGACACGGCCCAUACUCCUACGGGAGGCAGCAGUGGAGAAUCUUGUACAAUGGGCGCAAGCCUGAUCCAGCCAUGCCGCGUGGGUGAUGAAGGCCCUAUGGUUGUAAAGCCCUUUCGGCGGGAAAGAUAAUGACGGUACCCGCAGAAGAAGCCCCGGCUAACUUCGUGCCAGCAGCCGCGG
rnacentral:rRNA from 1 species